GAGUAUUAGUAGUUAAGGUCUUGAAACUUAAAGAAUUUGGCGGUAUUAUAGUCUAUUUAGAGGAAUCUGUUAUGUAAUCGAUAGUCCACGUUGAACCUUACUUAUAUUAUUUCUUGUAUACCGCUGUUUAAGAAUAUACUUUUAGGUAGAUUUUCUUGAUAUAUUACUAAUUAAGAUUUCAGGUCAAGGUGCAGUUAUAUAUAAGUUGAAUAAUGGAUUACAAUAAAUUUUAUUUAUAUGGAUUGUUAUUGAAAUAUAAUUUGAAGGUGGAUUUAAUUGUAAUUUUGUAAAGAUUAUUAAAAUGAUUAAUAGCUCUAUAAUAUGUACACAUCGCCCGUCGCUCUUA
rnacentral:rRNA from 1 species